CUCAGAGCUAGUGAACCAGGCCAGUGGGGAUGCAGAUGGAGUUUCAGUUUCAGAGGAAAGUUUCAGCUCACCUGCAUGUUCUGUGUAGGGGAAUGGAUAACCCCAGCCGCUCAGACUGGAAAAAUCUGUCACUAAAAUGCUUUCGGAGCAUGGCCUCGGCUGCUAAACAUAAGAUCAUCGUACUUCUGGUGAAAAAACCCCCAAAAUAAAACAGAGUCAGCGAG